UACGUAGGGUGCGAGCGUUAAUCGGAAUUACUGGGCGUAAAGCGUGCGCAGGCGGUUGUGUAAGACAGGCGUGAAAUCCCCGGGCUCAACCUGGGAAUGGCGCUUGUGACUGCACAGCUGGAGUGCGGCAGAGGGGGAUGGAAUUCCGCGUGUAGCAGUGAAAUGCGUAGAUAUGCGGAGGAACACCGAUGGCGAAGGCAGUCCCCUGGGCCUGCACUGACGCUCAUGCACGAAAGCGUGGGGAGCAAACAGG
rnacentral:rRNA from 1 species